rnacentral:rRNA from 1 species
GACAGAGGGUGCAAACGUUGUUCGGAAUUACUGGGCGUAAAGCGCGUGUAGGCGGCUCGGCAAGUCGGAUGUGAAAGCCCUGGGCUUAACCUAGGAAGUGCAUUCGAAACUGCCGAGCUGGAGUUCUGGAGAGGAAGGCGGAAUUCUCGGUGUAGAGGUGAAAUUCGUAGAUAUCGAGAGGAACACCGGUGGCGAAGGCGGUUCUCUGGGCCUUACCUGACGCUGAGGAGCGAAAGCGUGGGGAGCAAACAGG